AGUUUUUCAGGGCACAUUGUUUUAGAUAAUAAUAGGUCUCUUUUGGUUAGUAAAAAUGAAAAGAAUAAAAUGGAUUGAAAAAAUUAAGAUAAAAAUAAACUAAAUCAUCCAUUAAUAUAUAUUAUAAAUGUGAAAAUCAUCACGCUCUCUAAAAAUCUCAUAAAUUAUAAUUCUCAACCCUAUGAAUCAAAUUAUCACUUAUAAAUGUGCUUAUUAAUCCCCUUUGAUAAUCUUUUUUAUUUUUUAAUUUAUUUUAUUUCAUCCUUUUCUAAUAAGUAAGCAAGCCCAUAGUAUUGGAUUAUAGUUGGCAUUUUAGAUGAUCAUGUACGAGCCACACAGAUUGGACGGUUAGGAUCAAAGAAAUGGAGAGGAAAGGAGCAAAAUGGAAGGGAAAGACCCCGCGCCUUUGUAGGUACUGUCUCUCUCGAUUCUCGACAACUAAAUUCAUGCACAUCGGAGCUCCGUUGGCGAGAACAAUAAUGACGAAAAGAGAUCAGAUUUCAGUUUUACAGCAUCUCUCCUUCUCCGCACCUCAUCUCCUCUAUUUUUUGGUUUUUCUCCUUUCGGCCGAGCAGCAUCUUCUCCCUUGGAGCUCAUGUUCUUCAAUAUUCCUCAAGCUUGUGUGGGUCUUCUCUUCUCCUUCAUUGACUUCAUUUUCUACAUUUUAUUGGAAGAGAUCAUGGACAAGGAAUGGAUGUUUGUGAAUAGAAUCGUGAAAGAGUUCAUUAGUUUUGCAUUAAAGCAUGAAGCAGAUCAUAAUAGCAUUGUGUGCCCUUGCAUCAGGUGUGGCCACUUGAAUCGAGUUAGUGCGAGCGGGUUGGAAGACCAUUUAGUGUGCCAUGAAAUUGAUCAUACUUACACAUGUUAGCAUAAGCAUGGUGAGUCAAGGGAUACAACUGAUAGAAGCCAUGGGAAUAAUGGUUCAACGUACGUGUUACAUGAUUUUGAAACAAGUAUAGAUGAAGAUGAUCAUGUUGAAGAGAUGGCGAGUGCUGUUGAAGAGGAACUCUAGGAUUGUCUUGAAAUGCUUGAGAGGUUGAGAAAUGAUGCGAGAACACCUUUAUACACCGGUUACAUUGGAUUCCCAAAAUUGACCGCUGUGCUGAGAUUGUAUAACUUAAAAGCGAGAGGAGUUUUGAUUGAUACAAUCUUCAUCUAAUUUCUUUCUUUUAUUCAUGAAAUGCUAUCGAAAGGUAAUGAGCUUCCAACCUGAACAUAUGAUGAAAAACAAGUGUUGUGAUCUAUGGGCAUGAGCUAUAAGAAAAUACAUGCUUGCCCUAAUGAUUGUACUUUGUUCAGGAAUGAAUAUGCAUUAUUAACUGAGUGUCUUAAAUGUAAUGCA